rnacentral:rRNA from 1 species
AUUGAACGCUGGCGGCAUGCCUUACACAUGCAAGUCGAACGGCAGCACGGGAGCUUGCUCUUGGUGGCGAGUGGCGAACGGGUGAGUAAUAUAUCGGAACGUACCCUAGAGUGGGGAUAACGCAGCGAAAGUUGCGCUAAUACCGCAUACGAUCUACGGAUGAAAGUGGGGGAUCGCAAGACCUCAUGCUCAUGGAGCGGCCGAUAUCUGAUUAGCUAGUUGGUGGGGUAAGGCCUACCAAGGCUUCGAUCAGUAGCUGGUCUGAGAGGACGACCAGCCACACUGGAACUGAGACACGGUCCAGACUCCUACGGGAGGCAGCAGUGGGGGAAUUUUGGACAAUGGGCGAAAGCCUGAUCCAGCAAUGCCGCGUGAGUGAAGAAGGCC